AAGGCACCAGGCUUUCUCCCAUGCUGUAGGGCCAGUGUCCCCUCCUCCAACACCCAUCUCUACCAGGCUCUCCAGAGCUGCUGGGUAGAGCCUCCCAAAAGCUCAGUGCCCAGCCCCCAUCACCCAGGGGCUGGGUGGCCAAGCUGAGUUAAGCUAGAAAGAACAGGAGAGUUCAGGAAGGAACAUGUGUCUCAGCUAACAGGGCAGGGUAGACUGUGCUGGAACGGUGGAAUAAGCUGAAUGCUGUCUGAACAGGGGCAUGGUGUGACUCCUUCCGAGAGAUCAGAAACGCCACAGAAAGGACAAUGAGGUAGAAGGUACUAAGAACCAGGAGGCAAGGCUCCAGGCUUCAUUCUGUCAUGACCGGGUGGACGCCAGGAGCUGGCCCUAGUGAUGUUUGCAUUUGAACAACAGUGAGAUUGGGUGUCAGCUGCCCCAGGGGCGCCGAGGAAGAUGAAGAAAUGGAGCAGGCUGUCUCCAGGCAAAGGAGGAGAGAAGGGCAGAAUCCGGAUGGUAUGGAAUGAACAGCAAGGGAGGAAGUGGAAAGGGGAAAUGGGAUUUGCUACUGCUCUAUCAAGUUACAGCGUGCAAAGCUAGCUCCAGGUGAUGGGCUCCUGAGUGUCACCGCCAGGGUACAAACCUCAGUUGUGCCCUCUACUUACUGUGUGACCAUGUGUGAAUGGGCAAACUCUCUGAACUUGAGUUUGCCUCUCAGCAAAACAGUACCUACUUCCUGGGACUGUCAGGGGCACUGAGUGAGAUGACAAGCGACCCUUGGCCCAGCACCUGGUACACAGCAAACACUCCAUCCAAUCCGGACACGAUUAUCAUUCUGCCAGAACUUCUGUGAAAUUUGGUUACAGGAUAAUCACAUCACCUCCUUCAUAGCAGUGCGGAAGUAAAUGACUGGAAAACCUUCAUCGACAGCCGGGAUCAUACCCCGACUAGGUGAGGCCACAGCAAGGAGACAGUCAUCUGCAACACAGGAAGAGGAGCUCCACCAUAACCUGCUCGUGCUGGCCCCUUGAUCUCAGGUGUCCAGCCCCCAGAACUACAAGAAAUAAAUGACUGAUGAGCAAGCUUCCCCCUCCCCGCCCCCGCCAUCUGUGGCAUUUUAUUAUGGGAGCCGGACUCAUACAGGCGUUAUAUGAUUAGAACUGACAGACACCGAAGCCGGCUGAUUCAAGGGCGAGGUCCAGGCUGGAGAUACAAACCCAGGAGGCCUCAGCACACGGACAAAUUUACAGACCCAGCCAUAAAGGAGGAAGGUGAAGUUUAACUGUACCUUGAUAUUCAAUUAGACAGAAGGGUACCAAUAAACCUUGGAAAUGCCAACGC